rnacentral:misc_RNA from 1 species
GAUGAAGAACGUAGCGAAAUGCGAUAAGUAAUGUGAAUUGCAGAAUUCAGUGAAUCAUCGAUUCUUUGAACGCAUCUUGCGCUCCUUGGUAUUCUGAGGAGCAUGCCUGUUUGAGUGUCAUUAAAUUCUCAACUACACUGACUUUGAAUUGGUGUGGCUUGGAUUUGGGGGGAAAAUUGUUGUGGGCUUUUUGUAUAGUCUGCUCCCCUGAAAUUGAUUAGCGGUACCUUUGUGGAACUGUCUACAGGUGUGAUAAUUAUCUACAUCUUAGACAUCUGCUGGAAUGCUGCUUUCUAAACCUUACUUGUAUUGACAAUCUUGACCUCAAAUCAGGUAGGACUACCCGCUGAACUUAAGCAUAUCAAUAAGCGGAGGA